AGAAAAUUAGUUCAUGAUGAAUAAUAAAAACAAAAUCCAAAGAAAUAUAACCAAAGUAACAAUUCAAGAAAAACAAAGUAAAAAUAGAGAAGAAAAUAAAACUAAAGAUUAUCAUGUCUUCGAUAUUCAAUCUUUCGAGUUUUUCUUCACUUUCUUGCUUGCUUGAUGACUUUUUUUCUUCAGAGAAAACCUAGCUUCAUUGUUUUCUGUAAGUUCUCUGAAAUGGUUUUUAAAUAGGCCUUAGAAUCCACUCAUAAUGAAAUCCCAUAAUUUGUGCCUGUGGAAGUAAUCAUGUUGGUGCUACAGUUGUGGCUUUUUGGCAUCGCGACACCUUUUUCUCGAGUCGAUAUAUGGGAUAGCUUCCUCUCAUGGUGUCACAACGAUAGCUUUCUAGCACUGCAGCCUUAAGUUCACAAGUUGCAUUAUAGAGCCUCUUUUUAGCAUGACGUUGAGGUGCCUUUUUCUUUAUGGCUAUAGCGCUCAAAGUUUUGCCUUGCCUUGUUAUCUCUG
rnacentral:lncRNA from 1 species